CUGAAAUAAGUUGAUCUAACUCGCGCCUCAAAA
rnacentral:sRNA from 1 species